rnacentral:rRNA from 1 species
ACUCAAAUGAAUAGACGGGGGCCCGCACAAGCGGUGGAGCAUGUGGUUCAAUUCGAAGCAACGCGAAGAACCUUACCAGCUUUUGACAUGGCAGGACGGUUUCCAGAAAUGGACUCCUCCCCGCAAGGGGCCUGCACACAGGUGCUGCAUGGCUGUCGUCAGCUCGUGUCGUGAGAUGUUGGGUUAAGUCCCGCAACGAGCGCAACCCUCGCCCUUAGUUGCCAUCAUUCAGUUGGGCACUCUAAGGGGACUGCCGGUGAUAAGCCGCGAGGAAGGUGGGGAUGACGUCAAGUCCUCAUGGCCCUUACAGGCUGGGCUACACACGUGCUACAAUGGCGGUGACAGUGGGAUGCAAUGGAGCAAUCCUGCGCAAAUCUCAAAAAGCCGUCUCAGUUCGGAUUGUGCUCUGCAACUCGAGCACAUGAAGUUGGAAUCGCUAGUAAUCGCAGAUCAGCACGCUGCGGUGAAUACGUUCCCGGGCCUUGUACACACCGCCCGU